rnacentral:rRNA from 1 species
GACGAACGCUGGCGGCGUGCCUAAUACAUGCAAGUUGAGCGCUGAAGGUUGGUACUUGUACCAACUGGAUGAGCAGCGAACGGGUGAGUAACGCGUGGGGAAUCUGCCUUUGAGCGGGGGACAACAUUUGGAAACGAAUGCUAAUACCGCAUAAAAACUUUAAACACAAGUUUUAAGUUUGAAAGAUGCAAUUGCAUCACUCAAAGAUGAUCCCGCGUUGUAUUAGCUAGUUGGUGAGGUAAAGGCUCACCAAGGCGAUGAUACAUAGCCGACCUGAGAGGGUGAUCGGCCCCAUUGGGACUGGGACACGGCACAAAAUCCUAAGGGGGGCAGCAGUAGGGAAUCUUCGGCCAUGGACGAAAGUCUGACCGAGCAACGCCGCGGGAGUGAAGAAGGUUUUCGGAUCGUAAAACUCUGUUGGUAGAGAAGAACGUUGGUGAGAGUGGAAAGCUCAUCAAGUGACGGUAACUACCCAGAAAGGGACGGCUAACUACGUG